CUCAGCACAUUUGUCAAAACCAGCUGUGCCUGGGAGUUUGUUGUGACUGGAUAGUGACUGACAAACACCUGCAUGAAUCCAGUGUUUGUACCCAGUCACCAUGCAGGAUGCUUGCUUUGCCUCCGGAUCUCUUUGCUUUUCUUAGUGAAUUUCUUUUAUUGUCCCUUUAAUUAAAGAGCUUUUCCAGGCAAAAGAAUAAAGGGCUCAAGUAGCCUUUGUUUAAAAGGAGCUGGGCUCCUUCCCACAAAGUGACUGAUGCCUUUAAGGGCUCUUUUGUUUGAGCAUUACAAAUGUUUAUUUCUAAAUCAAGUAAUUCUGCCCCCCCCCCCACAGUUAUAAUGAAGAGACACCUUUGAAAAACUAGGAUUUGGCGUGGUGAUGCGCUGGAGACAGUAAAUCUUGGAACUCCAGCGUGCCCAGUACUCACUUUUCAAAGAACGGGACUUCCUUUUAAUCCCAGUCGUUUCUCCUUAGCCAGUCUGGAAGUAAGAGUAAUUUAUUAAAUGCUUGCAAAGUAUAGAAAUACCAUUGAAAGACACAGAAACUAUUCUAGGAAUAUUAUAUAUAGUUGAGGGCAUGUGAGGGUAAUCAAAUCGGUGGGGAUGGACACACCUGGUCUAUGAUCAAGAAACAGAUGUAAAGGUAACGUUGGUUUGUUAAAGUCUAGAUGUUUGGACUCCUCUAUUUCCAAUUUUCCUUUUUCUUUUUGCCAGAAGGAAACAAAUGAUAAAAAAAUAUUUCAUUUAAGAAUAAAUAAUUUUAUUUAAAUUGUUCUUUUAGGGAGCAAAUAUUUUCAGCAUGAGUAGAUCUACAGUCUGCAGAAUCCAUACUCGAGGCCAUACUCAGAUUUCCAGACCCCACUAGCCUGUGUGAAUCCCGAGGCUUGCCCAUAGGUCACACAUCUUCAUGUGUCACAGUGCUUGACUCUGAAUUGCCUGUUAACUGUUCCCAAGCCCUUGAGAAAAGCUUGCGUGGACUGUUGAGUGCGUGGCAUAUAUAACCGAGGCUUGAGAGUUUGUUCUUAACUAUGACGGUGUUUUUACCAGAGGAUUUGGUUUGGUGGCAACAGUCUAAGACAAUGACUUUACAGCUCCACAUCUCCAGGUCACUUGCCUGAAUGAGGGGCUCGGGAGGCACUGGCUGGUUUGGAAAGUAUCAUUUGAAUGAACUGCUAAUAAGAUCAGGCAGUAAGGAUUAAUACUAGCGGAAACUGAGGGUGAAGUUCUGAACUCCAUUUGUUUCCACAACAUUUGCAUCAGCUCUGCAACGGGGCUUCCUGCAAGGGUCUGCAGAAUCCUGCUUCUCUCAAGCUUUGUGUGAGCUUCAACCCACUGCUCUCUGGGAACUCUGUGUGCCCUACAGACUUGCUGAUCUGUGUGGAAGUCUCUGCAGGUCCUGGAGAAGGGACCUGUAUCCCGAUAGGGGAUGGCCCUCUCCAGACACACCUUCCAGCACCUAGUUGAUCCUGGGCUAAAGUCUGCUGAGUAAAAGGAAGAGAAGAGAAUGAUGUCACUGACGAUCUAUCUUUUUGCAGGAAUCUCCAUGGUUUAAAAUUGGCCCUGAUUUGAUCUGGCAGGUACGCCCCACAUCUGUAUGUGGGAAACUGUGUGCACUUCUCUGAGAAAUUCCUUUCUCGUGGAGCCCCUUUGCUGAUUCUAUGGCCAAAGAGGCUUUCUCCACUCCUUUCCCCUCUGCUGGAGAGCAGCCUGUGAGGACAGCUCAAAAGCCACGCUUUCAUUUUCCCUAUUUAAUGCUAAUGCCUUUGAAAGAAUGUAUUCUUAACCUGACUUCAGUAUAUCUGACACAAUAUGAGCAUGUUGCCCAAAGCUUUCACUUUAUUGAGUUCAUUGAUAAACUUUAUCCAAUUUAAGUAGGAAGAAAAUGAAUUAUGUGAAUGGCAAUACUUGUUAGCUCUUUGCAAAACAUUUUUGUUGUUGUUGUUGUUAGAACUUUUAAGCCAAUGGGAAUCUAAUUCAGAGUUGCUGAAAUCAAAAGGAAGUUUAUUGGCAUUUUAAACUGGAAAACAAAGUAAACCAAUAAAACUAAUAAAGCAAUAAAAACCAAACCAAAACAGACUACGGCUCCAGGCACCCCUUGAUCCAGGGCCUCAAGAAGGAUCAGCACAUGCCUUUUUGUGUCAGUCUGGUUUUUGUCUCGUCCUUCUCCAUGAGAGCCAGUUUCAGGCAGCUUCUCCUUGCCUGUCUGAGGAAGGCGGCUACAACAGUUUCAAAAUUCCCAGAAGCCAGGGAAGAGAAAAGAUUCGGUUUUUGCUUCUUUGCUUUGCUUUUAAUUCAGAAAAUAAACCAAUGUUGGAGCACUGGUGAUUCCUGAGAUGGGAUAUAAAGCUUCACGCCAACCUAACAGCUCAGAUUGCAGAGGGCCUGGGCUUCCCUCACUUGCUUAGCAUAGUAAAUCUGAUAAUGGACAAGGACAGUUUUCUGGGAUGGGAAGAUGCAUUGGCUAAUAAUGAGCUUGCCAUAUAUAGAACAUACAGAUGUUCUAGCUAAGCCCAGGAACCGGAGUUCAGAGCUUCAGCUCAGUACCAGCACAUGAAUCCAGGCUUGGUGGUGCAAGCCUAAAAUCCCAGCACUGGACAUGCGGAGGCAGCUGGUGAGCUCCGGAGUCAGUGAGGAAACUGUCUCAAAACAUGAAAUUAGUAAGAGAAGCCAGCCCCUGCCCUGAGUCACAGCAGAACAUGGGUACAUCCUUCUGCGAGCCAGGCAAGGCACCGGAGUAGCAAAAUGAAUUGAGAAAGGUGCCAGAUAUGGAUCUCUGGCCUCUGAGUAGGUAUACAUUGCAUGAGCAUCCUCACAGAUGUGUUCACAGACACCCACCCACCCCCUCUCAUAUGCAUACAUGUCCAUACAUAUACACAAAAGAAGGGAAAACAAUCAACUUUUUGCUAGAACAGAAGAAAUUAUCCAUUGCACCAGAUUUUACCAAAUGAAUAUUCCUGAAUGAUGUAUAAGCUUUAAUAAAAAUCUCAGAAACUCCAUUUGAUCUUAUGACCUUGUCAACUGCAGAAGAUUAAGAAGCCAGAGGCUUGUUCUCUCCACAAUAUAGAAUUUAUGUUGGAGCAUGGACCUUCAAUUUUGCAGCCAUGUGGCCAGCAGAGGCCUAUGGGCCAUUCCUCUUGAGUAUGAUUUAUACCUGAAGGCUAUUUCAAACAGGUGAAACGAAGCAAGUAGCAGCACUGAUGAGCUUCAUUAAGAUGACCCAGUGGCUCCCCUGCCUCAGAAGGAUAUACCUACAUUUAGCUGUGACUCAGGACAGAUGAUGGCUUCUCUUACUAACAUAGAAUGUUGUACCUUGUCCCCAUGACUGGCUCUUUUUUGUGAUGCUGCCCUGCAGGUAGGUUCAGAUUCCCCUAAGAGGACUCUUAACACUUGAUCAAAUUCAUUUGGAUCUAUAGUGUAUAGGUAUCCAAACCUGGUUCAACCAUAGCCCAAUAACUCUCAUGAACUGAAUCAGGUUUUGUUUUGUUUUGUUUUGUUUUGUUUUGUUGGUUUGUCUGUUUUUGACUCCAGAUGCUAUACAGGUUUAUUUCAUUCAUCUUUGGGACAGUUUAAGAUCUUCAUUAAAGGCAUUGCUUCUCCCAGGGUGUUGCAUUCACAGGAAGAUUGCACAGGUUUCUAGGCUUGUAUGACCUCCCAGGGUGUGGCUUUUUGGUACAGCACUUGUGUGACACCCUGCUUUGAUCCCCAGUGACGGAUGCAAGUAAAAUAAAUGUCCAGCAAACAAGCAAGCAAACAUGUUCCUGCCUUUUUAUGGAUAAUAAACAAGAGUAAUAAAACAGAAACAUCGCUAAGCCAAGGGUUCCCUAUGCUAGCAGCAAACUCUCCUCCCACGUAUAGAAAUUAGUCAGUCUCUGUAAGCCUGGCAAUAGAUCCCAUGAUCCCAUUCCAGUUGAUAUAGCUGUGGUUUCGAGAAAAUAAGCAACUGGCUCCUAAGCCUACAGCUAGCAGGUUGGCAGGAAGGAUUUGGAUGAGUGCUCCCCUGAGUCACACCAGUGUUCACUGAGCACUGGUUUGGUGCUCUCUACUCAAGUUUUACUAGCUCACGGGUCAAGUGGCUUUUCUCUCAGUACUUAUUUGGGUAAGUGUGCAGAGACUUGCAUCUAAGAAGAGCAGAGUCAGCUCUGGGUGUUGGAGAAGCCCGCUGUGUGUUUGCAAAGGUUCAGUGCUCUACUUGGUAGCGUGAGGCAGGAGUGAUUCACUAUACAGGUGUUAUCUGGCCUUCAGAUAUGUCUCCCCGUAGUCAGCAUGGAUCCUGCGUCCCACUCUGAGUUCUGAGUCUUAUUUAUUGUGAAGUUUUUAUUUUUAUUUAUUUUUUUAAACAGUAGGGCAUGACUAGUUCAGGCUUGCAAAGCCCUGUUUUCAUUUUCAAUAAAAUAAACCUUUAAACAUAUUUUUCUAAUUAUUUUUUAGAAUUUAAUGAAUUCUGACUAUAUACUCUCUCUCCACAGCUCCCCCCAUUCCUCCCAGAAUCCCCCAUCUUCCCACUACAGUCAACUUUAUGUCUUUUAUGGUUUUCAUUAGCCCAGUGCAUUUUGUGUUGCCCAUCUAUUCCUUGAUGUGUGGCCAUCCACUGAUGUGUUGUUGACCUAGCGGAGGCCGCACCCUUAAAGAAAACUAACCCUUCUUCCCUCAGACAGCCUCACUCUCUAUGAUUCCUCAGUUAGGGUGGAGGCAUGUGAAUCCCUACCCCUUUGUACUGGGAUGUUGGGUGGUUUCAUCUUUUGGGGACUUAUGCAGGAAUUCACAGCCACUGUCAGCUCUUGAGUGUAGCAGCCCUGUUAUCCUGAAGAUCAUUUUGCUCUGGGAUCCCCUGACCUCUAGAUCUUAAAAUCGUUCUGGCCCUGAUAUAGCCUCUGAGCUUUUUAUGUAUUUGUAUAUGAUGGUAUAGAUUUCUCAUAUAUGAGAUAACACUCUGUCAACACUUAUUCUGUGCACUUUGGCCAGUGCUGGGCUUUGUGUUAACCACCAUCUACUGCACAGAGAGACUUCUCUGAUAAGGGCUGAGGAAGAGAGGCAUAGGCAGAGGGCCGUUUGAUACUAUGUCUGUUUAGCAGACUAAUGAUAGUAGGGUCACCCCUGGCGCCUAUGAGUUCCCAGUAUGGGCUCUUGUUUAUAUUUACUGUGCCAGGUAUAUGUUUUCUCCUGUGGAGUGGGUCUUAAACCCAAUCAGAAAAGCCUUUGAAAACAGGCUCCCUUCCUUUAUGAUGCUAGAAUUAUCCUGUAGCUUAGUUUUCCCCCAUAGGAAAUUUCUUCAUCUUCUCAUCUUACAGCUGGAAACCUUUUCUGUCCCAUUUAACUAUUUUUCUUAUAUAAGGGAGAAAUUGUGGUUUGUAAGUGAUAUCCAAAAAAAGCAAAAAGCAAAAUGUCCCAUUCAGUGUAGCUAUGAGUGAUACUUAGUUGUCUUUAGACCAAGUAAAGUUUAAAAAUUACAGCAUUUUUCCUUUCUUGCUGGAAUACUUCCUAUGAUGUACUUGAGUCUAAUUGUCUGACUGUGUUGAGAGUUGAUAAUGACUGUUGUUAACUUUGUUAGUUGUGAAAAUAUCACUCCUGAAUUUGAAUCACAUAAGCCUGUAUUUAUUGAACAGUUAUCUUGUACACAGUACCAUAUGGUGGAUCUUAAACAACAAAACAAAAUAAAACAAUAACCUGAACUGUAAGACAAUCAGGUCCUAAUAGAAGGGAGGAGACACCCAGGUUACAUAGGUAAGAAAGACAGAGUGGGCUAUGGGAACCCAGAGGAUACCAAAUGAGGUGGGGGUGGGGUAGGGUGGAGGGAAUGCUUUUUGGAAAAAGUGACGUUUAGAGGUCAGCCUUGGAAAACUGGAACAAUUGUGAAAAUGAAUGGGCUGGGUUAUAAGUUGUAAGCAGAGAGGACCUUGAGAGUAAAGACAAGGAGGCCUGACAAGUGUAAGGAAUGUGUGGGGAAGACCAGGCCAGACAGGUGCUCGAGAGGUGACAUUUAAGCCUAGAAGCAAAGGAAGAAAAACCAAGAGGAAGUAGAAGGAAAAAAAAAAAAACCAAAAAACCAAAAAACAAGAGUCAACAUUAGUGAAGCAAGACUUCAGCUUUUUUUAGUUAGGGACACCACAGCCAAGUACCAAGUGUCAGAAGAGAUUCACAGAAUGCCAGAUCCUGCUUAGAAGCCUCGGCAACACAAGAGAUGGCUCAAACAACCAAAGCAGGAGAAAUGGGGACACCACUCCAAACCUUAAAAAAUAAACAGGGCGAUAUUUAAUGAAUGAUCCAUGAAAACAAAAAUCAAAAAUUUAGGUCAAUGACUAAAUUCUGUUAAAAAUACAACCUGCCAAAACUGUGUGAGUAGAAAUAGAAUAUCCAAGAGUCCUAGAGUCUAAAGACAAUGAUGAUGUCAUUUAAAAACUCACCACCAAGCCAACAAAACCCCUUGGAACCCAAACGCAGAUAUUGUAGGUCCAGAUGUCAUCUUCAGAGAAAUGUACCAAUGUUUGUGGAAGGAAUUAGAUGGAUCAUAGGAAAAGUAUUUCUUUUUUUUUUUUAAUUUUUAUUAGAUUUUUUUCAUUUACACUUCAAAUGCUAUCCCAAAAGUCCCCUAUACCCUCCCCCCACCCUGCUCCCCUACCCACUCACUCCCUCUUCUUGGCCCUGGUGUUCCCCUGUACUGGGGCAUAUAAAGUUUGCAAGACCAAGGGGCCUCUCUUCCCAAUGAUGUCCGACUAGGCCAUAUUGUGCUAUAUAUGAAGCUAGAGACACGAGCUCUGGGGUACUGAUUAAUUCAUAUUGUUGUUCCACCUAUAGGGUUGCAGACCCCUUCAGCUCCUUGGGUAAUUUCUCUAGCUCCUCCAUUGGGGGCCCUUGUUCCAUCCUAUAGAUGACUGUGAGCAUCCACUUCUGUAUUUGCCAGGCUUUGGCAUAGCCUCACAGGAGACAGCUAUAUCUGGGUACUUUCAGCAAAAACUUGCUGGCAUAUGGAAUAGUGUCUGUGUUUGGUGGCUUAUUAUGGGAUGGACCCCCAGGUGGGGCAUUCUCUGGAUGGUCCAUCCUUUCCUCUUAGCUCCAAACUUUGUCUUUGCAACUCCUUCCAUAGGUAUUUUAUUCCCUAUUCUAGGGAGAAUGAAGUAUCCAUGCGUUGGUCUUCCUUCUUUUGAUUUUCUUGUGUUUUGGACAUUGUAUCUUGGAUAUUCUAGGUUUCUGGGCUAAUAUCCACUUAUAAGUAAGUGAAUAUCAAGUGACUUCUUUUGUGAUUGGGUUACUUCUUUCAGGAUAAUAUCCUCCAGAUACAUCCAUUUGCCUAAGAAUUUCAUAAAUUUAUUGUUUUUAACAGCUGAGUAGUACUCCAUUGUGUAAAUGUACCACAUUUUCUGUAUCCAUUCCUCUGUUGAGAGACAUCUGGGUUCUUUCCAGCUUCUGGCUAUUAUAAAUAGGGCUGCUAUGAACAUAGUGGAGCAUGUGUCCUUAUUACCAGUUGGAACAUCUUCUGGGUAUAUGCCCAGGAGAGGUAUUGCUGGAUCUGCUGGUAGUAAGAUGGCCAGUUUUCUGAGGAACUGCCAGACUAAUUUCCAGAGUGAUUGCACAAGCUUGCAUCCCACCAGCAAUGGAGGAGUGUUCCUCUUUCUCUGCAUCCUUGACAGCACCUGAAUUUUUGAUCCUAGCCAUUCUGACUGGUGUGAGGUGGAAUCUCAGGGUUGUUUUGAUUUGCAUUUCCCUGAUGAUUAAGGAUGUUGAACAUUUUUUCAAGUGCUUUUCAGCCCUUUGGUAUUCCUUAGUUGAGAAUUCUUUGUUUAGCUCUGUACUCCAUUUUUUACUGGGGUUAUUUGAAUUUCUGGAGUUAAGCUUCUUCAGCUCUUUUUAUAUAUGGAUAUUAGUCCCCUAUCAGAUUUAGGAUUGGUAAAAAUCCUUUCCCAAUCUGUUGGUGGCCUUUUUGUCUUAUUGACAGUAUCUUUUGCCCUACAGAAGCUUUGCAAUUUUAUGAGGUCCCAUUUGUCGAUUCUUGAUCUUACAAGCACAGGCCAUUGCUGUUCUGUUAAGAAUUUUUCCCCUGUGCCCAUAUCUUCGAGGCUUUCUCCCACUUUCUCUUCUAUAAAUUUCAGUGUCUCUGGUUUUAUGUGGAGUUCUUUGAUCCACUUAGACUUGAGCUUUGUACAAGGAGAUAAGAAUGGAUCAAUUUGCAUUCUUCUACAUGAUAAUUGCCACUUGUGCCAGCACCAUUUGUUGAAAAUGCUGUCUUUUUUUUCCACUGGAUGGUUUUAGCUCUGCCUACUGUGAUCCCAAGGUGAUCCUGAGGUCCUGUGGUGUGGAGAGUAUUCUAGGGCCCCUGCUGGCCUCUGGCGGGUUCAGAAGGAAGAUGGCAGGGGUGGUCCCGACUGGAAUGGAUCUGAGCCUCUGGUCGGGCAGGGUUCCUUUGUCCCUGUUCCUGCUGGCACAAGACCCUCCGAGAUUCUUUGGAGCUGUUAUUUCGAUCCACUCACCCAUGAUCCCGAAGUGAUCCCGGGGUCCUGCGGUGUGGAGAAUACUCUGGAGCCAGGAAAAGUAUUUCUAAAUGGAAUGGAAGGGUGAAGUGCCUGCCCUGUAUGGGUUCCACUUAAGCUCCAUGUUUCUGCCUGGCUCUACCAAAGCACGGGAAGUAAUUAUCUGAAUAAACACCACUAUGAAUUAUCUAAGUUAAAUGAACACCAUGAUCAAUGGCAAGGGAAACUGCAGAAUUGUACUAGUAUUUGAAUAUCAGUGCUAUUCUCCAAAGUAAAAUGUAAAGAAAAAAAAGAGCUGACUUAAGUAGACACAGAGAAAGCCUUGGGUGGACAUAACUCCUUUGAAAACAUCUUGAGAUUACAAGUGGAGAGUUGUCUUAAUCUAGGAACUACAAGAAAGCUAUAGCAAGUAUAUUUCACACCAACACUUGACCAAUUUCACCAUAGUACAGGGAACAAGUAGGGGGAUCUGCUGCUCGGGAGUCCAACAUUAUAAGUCUAAGAAUUAAAAAUAAAUAAAUAAAAGCUUUUUUAAAAUUUAGAGGCAACAGGAUUAUAAGUACAGGGAAUCUCAAACGUGUGUGUGUGUAUGUUUAGAUUAAAAUGUUAACAUUUAGCCAAAUGUCUGGUUCAUAUUUUAAAGUCAAUCUUCUAUUAACAGUUAUGAAAUGAAAUUUAUAGAAGAAUGUCAGUUACGAUGACAUUAACAAACCCAGAUCUACAAUUAACUCUUAACAAUGAUUAUAUAAGACCUAGCCUGUUCAUUCCGCUGAAGGCUGUAUAGCAAGAAGCAGCGAUCUAUUGCUCUAUGUAACAACACAAUUAACAUCCACAAAACAAUUUGAAAGAAUCCAGAUCCAAAAGAGCAUGAACAACAUGAUGUUCUUUGUGUCAGUCAAAACUAAUUAAUGGUGUGAAAUAGCCAGAUGGUGGCGAAUCUAGUGUAGGCAAGGAACGACCAGGAGUCAGUGAAGAAUACCUUGGCACCAGUGCUCAUGCCUAGACGUGUGAGCUGAUUGGCAUAUGCCUAGUCAGGGCUCACUUGGUGAUAAGCCACCAUAGGUGGGGCAAAUCACAUGAGCUGGGUAACUUGAAAUGUAUGUUACCUUUGUAUAAAAUACUCACUUAAAGGGAGAAAAAGUGCAACCAUGUGAAAUGGAUAACACAAUCAAAAACUGGACAGAGGACUUAAACAUGUUCUCCAGACAGGAUAAUCAGGUAGCCAAUAUGAGCAUCAAAGGGAACUAGGCAUCAUUAGUCGUUAGAGAAAUGUAAAUAAAAUUGUAUUUAGAUUAACUCCCCCCUUCCAUAGAAUGGCAAAAAAAAAAAAAAAAAAAAAAAAAAA